rnacentral:lncRNA from 1 species
GCGUCUUGCGCAUCUUCUGGUAUUUAUGACCAAGUCUGUACGAGGGCCGGUUGGGCUUCCCACUGAGUUCAUCGGUGAGACAGGUGAGGGCUGCAGGCCUGCACGUUCAGGGAAUACGUCGUAUCUACUGUUCAUCAAAUAUCAAUUCACAACAGCACCGAGUUACUGCUAGAAUGCCUGCAGGAUGCCGGGAAUGCACCUGCACCCAAUGUCUCUGAUGUGUACUGCUUCCUACUGCAGAUGGGGAUAUCGAGUUGUCCUCCUUAAAUGUAGUUCGGAACGUGAUAUUACCUGGAUCUGACUAAUUAACCUGUUCUUGACACCAGAUGCCUCAGACUAACCCAGUAUUUAAUCAUAAGCAAAAGUUUUGGGGCUUGCUGUUGUCAUACUCGGAUGUUACCGGCCAUGGGCUGUUCACGGCAGGCAGCUCGGGCUCGAAACGAUCCGCAAGCAACCUGAAGUGAUACUAUGCCUUCGAUAUCUUUGCAAUUGCGUUGCACAAUG